AUUGAACGCUGGCGGCAGGCCUAACACAUGCAAGUCGAACGCGUGGCGGACGGGUGAGUAAUGUCUGGGAAACUGCCCGAUGGAGGGGGAUAACUACUGGAAACGGUAGCUAAUACCGCAUACCAUCGGAUGUGCCCAGAUGGGAUUAGCUAGUAGGUGGGGUAACGGCUCACCUAGGCGACGAGCCCUAGCUGGUCUGAGAGGAUGACCAGACAAACUGGAAAGGAGACACGGUCCAGACUCCUACGGGAGGCAGCAGUGGGGAAUAUUGCACAAUGGGCGCAAGCCUUAUGCAGCCAUGCCGCGUGUGUGAAGAAGGCCUUCGGGUUGUAAAGCACUUUCAGCGGGGAGGCGUUACCCGCAGAAGAAGCACCGGCUAACUCCGUGCCAGCAGCCGCGGUAAUAC
rnacentral:rRNA from 1 species